CCUACGGUACCCAGGAAGGCUAACACUUGGGUUUUUGUCCUAGGGGUAGGCCACUUGGCAACGGCUUCAAUCUUUGCUGGUUCGGGCUUUUGUUGCCUGCUCCCCACCGGUGUCCCAAGUACUGCACCUCUGCCAUCCCUAUAUGACACUUGCUAGGCUUCAGUGUCAACCCUGCCUCCCCUAUACGGCUCCAAUGUGUUGCAGAUGCUCUGCCCAGGUCUGG